rnacentral:piRNA from 1 species
UUUGCCCAUGCCCCAUUGU